rnacentral:rRNA from 2 species
GGGUGAGUAAUGCUUAGGAAUUUGCCUUUGUGUGGGGGACAACAGUUGGAAACGACUGCUAAUACCGCAUAAUACCUACGGGUCAAAGGGGGCUUCGGCUCUCGCGCAAAGAGAAGCCUAAGUGAGAUUAGCUAGUUGGUGAGGUAAGAGCUCACCAAGGCGACGAUUUCUAGCUGGUUUGAGAGAAUGAUCAGCCACACUGGGACUGAGACACGGCCCAGACUCCUACGGGAGGCAGCAGUGGGGAAUAUUGCACAAUGGGGGAAACCCUGAUGCAGCCAUGCCGCGUGUGUGAAGAAGGCCUUCGGGUUGUAAAGCACUUUCAGUGAUGAGGAAAGCCUAGUUGUUAAUACCAGCUAGGUGUGACGUUAGUCACAGAAGAAGCACCGGCUAACUCCGUGCCAGCAGCCGCGGUAAUACGGAGGGUGCGAGCGUUAAUCGGAAUUACUGGGCGUAAAGCGCACGCAGGCGGUUAUAUAAGCCAGAUGUGAAAUCCCCGGGCUCAACCUGGGAAAUUGCAUUUGGAACUGUAUGACUAGAAUACGAGAGAGGGUGGUAGAAUUUCAGGUGUAGCGGUGAAAUGCGUAGAGAUCUGAAGGAAUACCGGUGGCGAAGGCGGCCACCUGGCUCGAUAUUGACGCUCAUGUGCGAAAGCGUGGGUAGCGGACAGGAUUAGAUACCCUGGUAGUCCACGCCGUAAACGAUGUCUACUAGCUGUCUGUGCGAUUAAGUGUGGGUAGCGAAGCUAACGCGAUAAGUAGACCGCCUGGGGAGUACGGCCGCAAGGUUAAAACUCAAAUGAAUUGACGGGGGCCCGCACAAGCGGUGGAGCAUGUGGUUUAAUUCGAUGCAACGCGAAGAACCUUACCAGGACUUGACAUCCAGAGAACUUACUAGAGAUAGUUUGGUGCCUUCGGGAACUCUGAGACAGGUGCUGCAUGGCUGUCGUCAGCUCGUGUUGUGAGAUGUUGGGUUAAGUCCCGCAACGAGCGCAACCCUUGUCCUUAGUUGCCAGCAUUAAGUUGGGCACUCUAAGGAGACUGCCGGUGACAAACCGGAGGAAGGUGGGGACGACGUCAAGUCAUCAUGGCCCUUACGUCCUGGGCUACACACGUGCUACAAUGGCAAGUACAAAGAGAAGCGAAGUCGCGAGGCGGAGCGGAUCUCAUAAAGCUUGUCGUAGUCCGGAUUGGAGUCUGCAACUCGACUCCAUGAAGUCGGAAUCGCUAGUAAUCGUAGAUCAGAAUGCUACGGUGAAUACGUUCCCGGGCCUUGUACACACCGCCCGUCACACCAUGGGAGUGGGAUGCAAAAGAAGUAGGUAG